GUGUUUACAUUAUAAGCGAGUCAAUAAGUUGACGUUAAUUGCUGCUUUAUUUAAAAACAAGGCCACUAACUAGAUGGUUGCACAGCACGAGCGUUUUAAAAAGUUGUGGUGACUGUUUUUUAACAGUGCCUCACCCUUCCACACUCUCAGAGUGGGUAAAUAACAUGAAGCUGAGCUGUGGACUGAAGUUAGCUAUAUUUAUAUAUUGAACUAUUUCAUAUUUUCCGAGGGUGUGGAUGGUGAAGAGCUACAGAACUAUAAGAGCACAGAGGCAUACAACUACCUUUAUAGUAACAAAAUAGGAAAGUUAUUGUAUAAAAAAUACGGUGUCAUUUUUUUGAAAGCUGAGGUAGAGUCGUCAGACCAUCAGCCGAAGUAAACAUCAAGCGUUACCUCAGCUUUAAAAAAAAAAUCGAGUUUUGUAUACAAUACCUUUCCUAUAAUAUGUAAAUAAAUGAUCUUUUUUGCAUCCGGAUCAGAAUACAGCUCUGUAUGAUUCUUUUUAACAAAGUGAAACGAGCAAACAUAUAUAUCUUCUUUCAGUUUUAAAGCUGCAAUCCUCGCUGGGCUCCCUCCCUUUUCCUUUAAAUGUAAUGCAAAAAAAACGGCGCCGGACACAAACAGUGUUCACGAAGCUGCUGGUGUUCAAAGCAUGUCAUUUCCAACAACUUCAACUUUUUCAACUUAGCUAGCAGUGCUAAAAUGCUAACGCGAGCUAGACCAAAAAAACGGCAAACGGAACUAUAAUGGGAUGUCAUGGCAGCCCCCCCUUGGGAUUUUUUUGGAGAAAAAGAUAGUAUGAGAGAGACUCACAAUGGGACAGGAACACUUCCAUCACCUCAGUCCAUCCCAAGGGCAGCUGUGGUCUAA
rnacentral:lncRNA from 1 species